rnacentral:rRNA from 1 species
CCUACGGGAGGCAGCAGUGGGGAAUAUUGGACAAUGGGGGGAACCCUGAUCCAGCCAUGCCGCGUGUGUGAAGAAGGCCCUCGGGUUGUAAAGCACUUUCAGUGAGGAAGAACGCCUGGUGGUUAAUACCCAUCAGGAAAGACAUCACUCACAGAAGAAGCACCGGCUAACUCCGUGCCAGCAGCCGCGGUAAUACGGAGGGUGCGAGCGUUAAUCGGAAUUACUGGGCGUAAAGCGCGCGUAGGUGGCUUGAUAAGCCGGUUGUGAAAGCCCCGGGCUCAACCUGGGAACGGCAUCCGGAACUGUCAAGCUAGAGUGCAGGAGAGGAAGGUAGAAUUCCCGGUGUAGCGGUGAAAUGCGUAGAGAUCGGGAGGAAUACAGUGGCGAAGGCGGCCUUCUGGACUGAUACUGACACUGAGGUGCGAAAGCGUGGGUAGCAAACAGGAUUAGAUACCCUGGUAGUC